AACAGGGGGAGACUUGAAUCCUAGAGAAAACAAAACAAAACCUAACAAAACAGAAAUGAACCCUUGAUGAACCUCUUGCUCUGGACUGGUGCCCUGAAAAUGAAUGAAAUUGUUUUAAAGAUUACCAAGAAGAUAUAAAAUAUCAAAUGCGGCAUUAAUGUUGAUUGGUACAGGCAUGGACAUGGAACAUAUGCUGAUGCAGUCAGGGUGAAUCUCAGGAAAUUUUCUAAGCACCCUGGAAUGAAGACAUCACGUCGUUCACAUCACCCAUAAAUGGCAAUGCAUCUUACUGUGGAACCUUCUGGAACACAUCUUGGGACCAUGAGGAAUAGCAACCAUAGGAUAAAGCCGGUAUAUUAGAAGUCUAAGCAAGGUGUUGGAGAGAAAUCAAAUCUUUGUAAUAUUGGCACUUUAGUAAAAGGGCAGGAAUAAAUAU
rnacentral:lncRNA from 1 species